GGUGUCCAGUUCAGUGGCACUAAGUAAUUCACAUUGCUGUGCAGCCGUCCCCACCAGCCAUCUCCAGAACUUUCCAUCUUCCCAAACUGAAACCCUGUCCCCAUUAAACAUGAGCUCUGCCCCACCUACCACCGGCACCCACCAUCCUACUUCCUGUCUCUGUUGGUCUUCUGACCGCUCCAGGGACCUCACGUGCACAGAAUCACACAGUAUUUGUCCUGCUGUGACUACCUUCUUUCACUCAGCCUAAUAUCCUACAAGCUUGUCCGGGUCGCAGAAUUUCCCUUUUAAGGCUGAAGAAUAUUCGGUGGUAGGUAUAUGCCACACUGGAUUUAUCCAUUUGUCUAUUGAUGGGCGCUUGGGUUGCUUCCACCUUUUGGCGAUUGUGAACGAUGCCGCUGUGAGAGUUGGGCGUGCUGCUGCAGGUCUGUCAUUUCCGGCUGCCCGGCUGUGGCGGUCUGCUCAGUAGUUCUGAGAGGCGGACACGGGCUCCAGGUGCCCACAAGCUGUCCCAGACCUCGGUUGUGAUGUGGCGGAAAGGGCAUGGGCUCUGGUCCGACCCUGCACCUUGGGGAGGGGACACUGAGCCCCGCGAGCCCUGAGCGCUGAGACGUGGGUGUGAGAAUGGAUGUGAUGAGGGCGCACGGGCAGCCGUGGGCUCAUGGAGGGUGCCUCCAGGCACCAGGAGGAAGACGACAAAGGAGGAGGACCGGUCCCCGCUCGGGAGGCUGAGCUUCAUUGGGGAGCGCAGGAAUCCUGACCGGGAGGGCGAGGGGAAGGCGGACAGGGAGGCAGCGGCCCAGGGCCAGGCGGGGAGGCCUCUCCUGGCCACACCCAGCAGCACCCGGGGCUUCUCUCCGUUGGGAGCCUCGGGCAGCAGGUGAGGAAGGAGGAAGUGCGUUCUCCACGCCUGGAGCUGACGGCUCACCGGGUCUCGGCGGGAUUGGCAUCUCCUCGAUGGCAUCAGCUCCUUGGAACCGGAAAGGCAGUUUCCAUUGGGUUUGUCCUGGCCACCCACCCAGGGAGACGGAGUCUAGCCUGGUUCCCAGAGUUUGGGCAAAGACCGAUCAAUGGCCUGGCGUCCGAGUGAGGACGUGCAAUGCAUUUUUGGAGGAAAAAUGCCUCUUCUCGGACCUCCCCCAGCAGAGCCUUCCCCACGGGCGGGUUGGCUGUGGAGCGAAGGUG
rnacentral:lncRNA from 1 species